UACGUAGGUGGCAAGCGUUGUUCGGAAUUACUGGGCGUAAAGGGCUCGUAGGCGGCCAACUAAGUCAGACGUGAAAUCCCUCGGCUUAACCGGGGAACUGCGUCUGAUACUGGAUGGCUUGAGUUCGGGAGAGGGAUGCGGAAUUCCAGGUGUAGCGGUGAAAUGCGUAGAUAUCUGGAGGAACACCGGUGGCGAAGGCGGCAUCCUGGACCGAAACUGACGCUGAGGAGCGAAAGCCAGGGGAGCAAACGGG
rnacentral:rRNA from 1 species